CCUACGGGGAGGCAGCAGUGGGGAAUAUUGGACAAUGGGCGAAAGCCUGAUCCAGCCAUGCCGCGUGUGUGAAGAAGGCCUUCGGGUUGUAAAGCACUUUCAGUGGGGAAGAAAGCCUUGGGGCUAAUACCCUCGAGGAAGGACAUCACCCACAGAAGAAGCACCGGCUAACUCCGUGCCAGCAGCCGCGGUAAUACGGAGGGUGCGAGCGUUAAUCGGAAUUACUGGGCGUAAAGCGCGCGUAGGCGGUCUGAUAAGCCGGUUGUGAAAGCCCCGGGCUCAACCUGGGAACGGCAUCCGCAAGGGGCAGGUAGGAGGGGGGGAGAGGAAGGUAGAUGACCGGGGGGGGCGGGGAAAGGGGAAGAACACGGGAGGAAGAGAAGGGGCAGAGCGGGCCUUAGACACUGACCCGGACGCGGAGGUGACAAAUUGUGGGAAGCAACCGGGUUUAGCGACCGGGGGAGGG
rnacentral:rRNA from 1 species